UGCGCAGGCGGGCUGGGUAGUCAGGGGUGAAAUCUCGCCGCUUAACGGCGAAACUGCCUUUGAUACUCUCAGUCUUGAGUCCGGUAGAGAUCUGUGGAAUUCCGAGUGUAGCAGUGAAAUGUGUAGAUAUUCGGAAGAACACCAGUGGCGAAGGCAGCAGAUUGGGCCGGUACUGACGCUCAGGCACGAAAGCAUGGGGAUCAAACA
rnacentral:rRNA from 1 species